AAGAAGAAAUGGAAGAAGCCAAGAAAGGGCAUGAAGAGUGGACCAUCCAAGGGUAAAGAGCAUCAUCAUGAUACCGAGGUUCAUAAGAAGAAACAAAACAAAGAUAGAUAUCAUUUUUGCAAGAAAUUGGGACACUAUCAGAAGGACUGCCAUAAACGCAAGGCAUGGUUUGAAAAGAAAGGGAUUCCUUACAACCCAGAUGCAAGAUCCAAAUGAGAGUUUUAUAGUUUUGGAAAAUGGAGUUAGAGUUUCUGUAACUGCUGUUGGAACAUAUCAUUUGUUUUUAAAUACUGGUUGUCAUUUAGAUUUGCUUCAGACUCUUUAUGUUACUUUUAUUUCUAGAAAUUUAAUUUCUGUUUCUAAACUUGAUGUUGAAGGAUAUUUCUUUAAAAUUGGGAAUGGUAGUUUGCGUCUUUUCAAA